AUUGAACGCUGGCGGCAUGCCUUACACAUGCAAGUCGAACGGUAACAGGUCUUCGGAUGCUGACGAGUGGCGAACGGGUGAGUAAUACAUCGGAACGUGCCCGAUCGUGGGGGAUAACGGAGCGAAAGCUUUGCUAAUACCGCAUACGGUCUACGGAUGAAAGCAGGGGACCGCAAGGCCUUGCGCGGACGGAGCGGCCGAUGGCAGAUUAGGUAGUUGGUGGGAUAAAAGCUUACCAAGCCGACGAUCUGUAGCUGGUCUGAGAGGACGACCAGCCACACUGGGACUGAGGCACGGCGCAGACUCCUACGGGAGGCAGCAGUGGGGAAUUUUGGACAAUGGGCGCAAGCCUGAUCCAGCCAUGCCGCGUGCUGGAUGAAGGCCUUCGGGUUGUAAACUGCUUUUGUACGGAACGAAAGGACUCUGGUUAAUACCUGGGGUCCAUGACGGUACCGUAAGAAUAAGCACCGGCUAACUACGUGCCAGCCGCCGCCGUAAUAC
rnacentral:rRNA from 1 species